GCCUACGGGGCGCAGCAGUAGGGAAUAUUGCUCAAUGGGGGAAACCCUGAAGCAGCAACGCCGCGUGGAGGAUGAAGGUUUUCGGAUUGUAAACUCCUUUUGUUAGAGAAGAUAAUGACGGUAUCUAACGAAUAAGCACCGGCUAACUCCGUGCCAGCAGCCGCGGUAAUACGGAGGGUGCAAGCGUUACUCGGAAUCACUGGGCGUAAAGAGCGCGUAGGCGGGAUAGCAAGUCAGAUGUGAAAUCCUAUGGCUUAACCAUAGAACUGCAUUUGAAACUGCUAUUCUAGAGUAAGGGAGAGGUA
rnacentral:rRNA from 1 species